rnacentral:lncRNA from 7 species
AGCUCAUUUUAAAGUGUUUGGUAGGCAUCUAGGCUACUGACGUUGUGUUAGGGGCAGUCAGUGCGUACUUUUGCUAAAUUUUUGUUCUUUCAUUCACCAUUGGCAAGCACAGAUGAAUGAUGGUAUUAGGUGUCGACAUUGCAACAGAAAUAUUUAAGGGUACUGCUGAUGUUAUAACUUACAAUAAUGAGAAGAUUCCAAGGCAUAAAGAUUUUUAUAUACUUUUGUGAAUAUUUUUAGUGGUUUUAUUGUUAGUUUUUUAUAUUUUCAUCUUAAAAAUUUACAUAUAUAUUAGAUAAUAUAUAUAGUAAAAAACUUCGUCGGCGAUGAAUAAAUAGGUACAUGUCUUUAUAUAUGUACAUAGCUUAGCUAGCCCAGGCUCUUUAUAAAUCCUGGAUCCGCCACACGGUCCUAGUGGCGUAGCCAAGUUCUGAAUUUAGAGUGGUCCAUUGUUUAAAAUUUGUAGACCAUAAAUAUAGCAUAUCAGUAUAUAGGUAUAUUAAUAUAGAACAUAGUGUAAUUAAGUUAAUAUAGACAUAUGUAUAGUAUAACAAAUCUUCACUACUUUCAUGUUCGAACAAAUCUGUAAGAGAAUUGUAUAACAUUUCAAUCUAUCAUUCCAUUCAAUAAACCAAUCAUGUACAAAGUAAUCCAACAUUGCACAAUGGAUUAGUUUUGCGUACUCUGUUACCAGUUGUACAGAACUACCCGUUCAAUGAAAAAUAACUAGACAACCAUGGAAAAAGUAAACACUCAUAUCUUGACUCAAUGUACAAUAAAAUUAUAUGAUGGUUUGAUUUAUCAUUUCAAUUCUAGUUACCUAAUACUGCACAAAAAUCCUAUGGUUAGUUUCAAAAAAAAUCUACGGCUGGAAUAAAAUAUUGCAGUGUUGCUGAAAAAACAUUCAAUAAUCUAACAAGAUAGAAGUCUAUUGCUUAAAUUAAUUUUUCAUGACUUAUUUCUUAUGAACUUUUGAUAUCCCUACAGAUCGUGAAUCACCAGCAACCACAAUACCUAACUAUCUAAGGAACUG